rnacentral:rRNA from 1 species
UACGUAGGGUGCGAGCGUUGUCCGGAUUUACUGGGCGUAAAGGGCGCGUAGGCGGUCGUGACAAGUCACUUGUGAAAUCUCCGGGCUUAACUCGGAACGGUCAAGUGAUACUGUCGGACUAGAGUACAGAAGGGGCAACUGGAAUUCUCGGUGUAGCGGUGAAAUGCGCAGAUAUCAGGAGGAACACCAAUGGCGAAGGCAGCUCGCUGGGACGGUACUGACGCUGAGACGCGAAAGCGUGGGGAGCGAACAGG